GCCAAGUACGUGCGAGCGGCGGGGGUCAGACGUGGGUGGGGAGCGUUGACCGGAAGUACUUGGCGUAAAGGGUGUGCAGGCGGGUUGUGAAGUCGGGUGUGAAAUCCGUAAGCUCAACCGAGGGCGUGCAGUCGAUACUGCGGGACUAGAGUAUUGUAGGGGGGAGUAGAAUUCGAGGGGUAGCGGUGAAAUGCGAAGAUAUCAGGAGGAAUACCGGUGGCGAAGGCGAGUCCCUGGGCAGAAACUGACGCUGAGGAGCGAAAGCGUGGGGAGCGAACAGGAUUAGAUACCCGAGUAGUC
rnacentral:rRNA from 1 species